rnacentral:rRNA from 1 species
UACGUAGGUGGCAAGCGUUAUCCGGAAUUAUUGGGUGUAAAGGGUGCGUAGACGGGAUAACAAGUUGGUUGUGAAACCCCUCGGCUCAACUGAGGAACUGCAACCAAAACUAUUAUUCUUGAGUGCAGGAGAGGAAAGUGGAAUUCCUAGUGUAGCGGUGAAAUGCGUAGAUAUUAGGAAGAACACCGGUGGCGAAGGCGACUUUCUGGACUGUAACUGACGUUGAGGCACGAAAGCGUGGGGAUCAAACAGG